rnacentral:rRNA from 1 species
UACGUAGGGACCAAGCGUUGUUCGGAUUUACUGGGCGUAAAGGGCGCGUAGGCGGCAGAUCAAGUCAGCUGUGAAAUCUCCGAGCUUAACUCGGAACUGUCAGCUGAUACUGUUUUGCUAGAGUGCGGGAGGGGCAAUCGGAAUUCUUGGUGUAGCGGUGAAAUGCGUAGAUAUCAAGAGGAACACCUGAGGUGAAGACGGGUUGCUGGGCCGACACUGACGCUGAGUGCGCGAAAGCCAGGGGAGCAAACGGG